rnacentral:rRNA from 1 species
AUGAGGCUCGCGGUGGUUCUCCUCUGCGCCCUGGUGGCCGUCCAGGUCGCGCUCCUCGCCGCCCCGGCGGAGGCCGGCGAGCUGGUGGUCGGGUACUACGACAAGAAAUGCAGGGGCGUGGAGAACGUCGUCCAGUGGCACGUCAGGAGGGCGCUCAAGACCAACCGCCGCGCCGGUGCCGCCCUCGUCCGCCUCCUCUUCCACGACUGCUUCGUCAGGGGUUGCGAUGCCUCUGUGCUCCUUGACGCGUCCCCCGAGAACCCUCACCCGGAGAAGGAGGCGCCGGUGAACAUCGGGCUGGCCGCCUUCGACCUCCUGGAGGAGAUCAAGGCGGCCGUCGAGGACAGGUGCCCCGGCGUGGUGUCCUGCUCUGACAUCCUCAUUUACGCAGCCCGUGACGCGGCCCACGCCCUCAGCAAUGGCAACAUCCACUUCGACGUCCCUGCCGGGCGCCUCGACGGCCUCGUCUCCUCGGCCGCCGAGGCCCAGGCGGAGCUCCCGGACUCCACCUUCACCGUGCAGCAGCUCAUCGACAACUUCGCACGCAAGGACUUCGACGUGGAGGAGCUGGUCAUCCUGUCCGGCGCGCACUCCAUCGGCGUCGGCCACUGCUCCUCCUUCACCGGCCGCCUCACCGCGCCGCCGGAGCAGAUCAACCCGGCCUACCGCAACCUUCUCAACCACAAGUGCCACCAGGGCGCCAACCCGGCCGUCGUCAACAACGUCCGCGAUGAGGACUACGAGACGGUGUCCAAGUUCAUGCCCGGGUUCACCAGCCGGGUGCGCAAGAUCAGCGACUUCCUCGACAACACCUUCUACCACAACAACCUCGCCAGGAUCGUCAGCUUCAACUCCGACUGGCAGCUCAUGACCCACACCGAGGCCAGGGGCCACGUCCACGAGUACGCCGACAACGCCACGCUCUGGGACGGCGACUUCGCGGAAUCCCUGCUCAAGCUCAGCAAGCUGUCCAUGCCCGCCGGGAGCAAGGGCGGCAUCAGGAAGAAGUGCAGCAUCGCCACCCACCCUCUCUACUAA